GCAGUCAGAUGAUGCUGAGCUCCACUCAUCGAUGACACACUUCUGUAUCUCAAAUCUAAGCAGAGAUGUGUUUGAGCUGCCCCUCAGAGAUGAACCCAGUCCAGCAGGAGAAUGGCUCAUGGGGAGGCAUGGAUCCUGCUGGACAGAGCGGCUUACAGCAGCGUGACUGCAGAUGGUCAACACUCUUCUCUCCACAGGAUCAUGAUGUAACACCUCUCCUCUCCUCUUAUCAACCAGAGCUGCUGGAAUCUCCUCCAGCUCCAGUGAUAGAGAGUACAUUUCUCCCGCAGGAAAGCGACGCGAUAACGCCGAGUUUGAGACAGAGAAGCGUCACUCACCGUGGCUGAAGAGCACAGUCCUCAACCGGCGGCUGACAGUCGAGUUUUCCAUCGCUCUCUAUCCGAAAGACCCUUCCGUCCACCUAGACACUCCUCUCCGGGGAAUCCAGCUCCUGGAGCUGCAGCGCUAGCGCGGACAGACGGCUGGAGUCUGCGCAGAGCGCGUCACCGAGCGCUUUAAACCCAGCACCGCGGCAGGCGUGACGUCACGCGCGCCGUCAAAACAAUCGCACAUGGGCGAGCCAAGAUUCUUUUGGAAUGUAAAAUGUUAAAAGGCCUGGCCAAAUCUUUACACAUUGUGUAUUAUGAAUGAACAACGUUAAAGAAGCACAUUUUAAAAUACUUCACAAAAUGUACUCAUUGCUAAUUUCAUGGACAUUGAUGAUUCGCGUUUUCUGUUACGCACACGAGGAAGACUUGUCUUUUAUAAUUGUGAUUUGACUUUCAGAUUUUAGUAAUGCCUUUUUUUAUUUGUGCAAAGAAAUGUUCUCUUUUUAAAUUAUGUUAUUUGUACUUAUUCACACACACACAAGCAAAAUUAUUAUGUUGAGAACGUUUAUAUUGCACGGUAAAUAUGCUAUUCAUAAACAAAAAUUUGCGAAAUGCAUACCACAAUGUAUUUUUAUUUAUUUUUUUUUAUUAGAAAAGGAAUCUUUGAAAAAUUAUCUAAUGCAAAUGAAUAACAAAAAUGCAAAUGAAUAACUGUCUUCAGAUCAAUAAAUGACAUUGUACUGCCACUGUAGCCAAAAGUGAAUUAUCUCAUUAGUGGACAGCUUGUGUUGAGUUCGUGUGAGAGACAGUGACGAGGCGAGAGACAGCAGGAGCAUCACUUUAUUCUGUCCUGAAUCACCUCCAUCAGGGACAGUGCCUUUAAAGUGCAGAGUCAUUUUCACAGCUUCAGUAAAACAUUAAAUCCCCGGAAACCAUAAACCUAAAACAUCAAACUGAACACGGAAACAAGGAACAUGAAGUAUCCAGAGCACAAAAGGAAAGCUCACUGGAACAGGUGAGCGAUGACGUCAUGAACUCGUCGAUGGCAAGGCUAGCGUUAAACAAAGGCACAGCGAUGUGGAGAGGUAAAGCAUGGCUUCCAGAAGGAAAGCUGCAGCAUUCUGUCAUUUCUCUCUGAUGUGUAUGAGUUUGUGAACAGAUAUGAAGCGUGACAUGACGUGACCUUCUUGGACAUCAGCAGGACCCUGAGCUGGACGUAUGUGUGUGUCCAGCCGUAGACUCACCACAGAAACACUUACACACUCAGCAUCAACUCUGCAAUGACCUUCACAGUAUGGCUUUGAGUUAAUGCCAAUACUGAGAUUGUUGUUUCCCAAUAUAAUCAACAGGGCUCCAAAAUUAAGAGUUCACCCAAAAAUGAAAAUUCUGUCUUUAAUUACUCAUCCUCAUGUCAUUCCAAACACA